rnacentral:misc_RNA from 1 species
GAUGAAGAACGCAGCGAAAUGCGAUAAGUUAUGUGAAUUGCAGAAUUCAGUGAAUCAUCGAAUCUUUGAACGCACAUUGCGCCCGCUAGUAUUCUGGCGGGCAUGCCUGUUCGAGCGUCAUUUCAACCAUCAAGCCCUGUUUAGGCUUGUGUUGGGGCCCUGCGGUUGCCGCAGCCCCCCAAAUGCAGUGGCGGGCUCGUUGUCACUCCGAGCGCAGUAGCGUAUCUCGCUCUGGGCGUGGCGGCGGGUGCUAGCCGUGAAACACCCACUAAUGUUGACCUCGGAUCAGGUAGGACUACCCGCUGAACUUAAGCAUAUCAAUAAGCGGAGGA